GUCUACUCUAUUUCUAAAUUUAAGAAAGAAUUAAAAAACGAUAGUCUAGUAUGUAAAAUUGAAACGUUUUAUUUGUACGGCCCAAGGAAAUUAAAUAUUAUCUUAACGCAAUUGCGAUGUUCCGCUUCAUCCUUAAACAAUGACCUAUUUAGAGCUAACAUUAUAAAUGAUCCUUCUUGUCAUUGUGGGUCCGAUAUUGAGGAUGUCUACCAUUACUUCUUCGUUUGCCUAAAAUACACAUUAUGUAGGAAAAACUUA
rnacentral:lncRNA from 1 species